UCAGUUCUCUUGCUCCUUCCCUCUGCC
rnacentral:piRNA from 1 species